AUUCUUUGUUUUGCAUAGAAUGGUGGGGAGGACCCAAGGGGAGUUUUAACUCCAGGCUAUUUUGAGCCAUGUAACUUUCCUUCAUCAGCCACCCCAGGAAUGCAGACAUUGUCACCUUGCCCAUCAUAUUAGAGGCCCUGGAGUGGGAAGGCCUAGGUUAUCCAAGAGGUCCGGAUGUUACUGGGGUUCCUAGGGCUCACCGAGAAUGAUCAUCUUCUACUUCUCAACCACAGCUGACCCAAUAACCAGUCUCCUUGGGAAAGGGAAGAAAUUUGUCUAUUCUUGGCCAGGUUGCAUCUUUUCAGCAGUUGAAAUUGUCCACUCUCAUUCUCUGAUCAACUUGUCUAACCAAUGCAAUCAACUACUCAACCCAAACCUCCUACUAAACCAAGUUUCCUAGUGGGUAAUUGCUGAAGUGAGAAGGAACAGGUCAUAGGCUAAAAUCCCUGGAGAACUGACUUCAUAAAGCCACUGAUAAAGCCAUUGCUUCAUAUAGAACUACAACUGCCCUUUCAAAAAUCUAAUAAAUGUGCCUUAGUACUCACAUUUCAGAGCAUACUGUGGCUGGAAUAUAUGCUUUUGAAAUCUGUGGUGAAAGGAUUGCUGGAGAUGAUACACUCACUCCAUUGUUCCCCUCCCAAGACUGAGCCAUUCAUGAAAAAAGGAGAGGGUAACGGACAUAGGUCUUUCUAGAGAAUACUGCACAGCUCCUCAGAAACUCUGCUCUUGGGACCCUCUCAGAAAGCCCUGAAGGAAAAAAUCACAAUUGGGAGUGAGGUCAUGAGCUCAUGGCAUUACCUGUGCUAUUAUUACAUAUUAUUGCUUGCAAGUGUGCUGCUGCUGCAGCAAAAAGAAACAGCUUGUUCUCUGAGAUGUUGUGAUGUCUUUGAUGACCCAAGUCAUCAAACACCCACAGUCCUCGGGGAGUGCAGAGUUCCAGGAAGCGGACAUCAGCAGGAAGCCCGUGGAGACUCACGUCGAGCUGAGAACAGGUGGCAGGACCAGGCAGCAGUGACCAAUGGCUAAAGUAUGACUUCCUUGGUGGUUGAGCGGCUGAGAACCUGCCUGACAGUGCGGGACACACAGAUUUGAUCCCUGGUCCGAGAAGACUGCUCCACAUGCUGUGGAGCAGCUAAGGCUAUGUGCCGCAACUGCUGAGCCCGAGCUCUAGAGCCUGUUCUCCACAAUAAGAGAAGCCAACGCAACGAGAAAUCCAAGCAUUGGAAUUAGAGAAUGCCUGAGCACAGCAGGGAAGAUCCAGCACAGCCACAAAUAAAUAAGU
ensembl:lncRNA